AGGAUGAACGCUGGCGGCGUGCUUAACACAUGCAAGUCGAACGAUGAACUGGAGCUUGCUCCGGGGAUUAGUGGCGAACGGGUGAGUAACACGUGAGUAACCUGCCCUUGACUCUGGGAUAAGCACUGGAAACGGUGUCUAAUACCGGAUAUGACCUUCAGCCGCAUGGCUAGGGGGUGAAAGAAUUUGGUCAAGGAUGGACUCGGCGGCCUAUCAGGUAGUUGGUGAGGUAAUGGCUCACCAAGCCGACGACGGGUAGCCGGCCUGAGAGGGUGACCGGCCACGACUGGGACUGAGACACGGCCCAGACUCCA
rnacentral:rRNA from 1 species